AUAAUGGCAAUAGUGUACUUUGACAUUGAAAAGGCGUAUGACUGUGUGGAGGGAGGGGUUACUGAUCACAUUGAGGAGAAUGGGUAUUGGAGGGAGAAUGUUCAAUUGGGUAAGGGCCUUUUGAACAGACAGGACAUUUAUGGCGCGUUUCCACUGCAGGCCUCGCUCGGUUUGGUUUAGCCCGGCUCACUGUAAUGCUGCGUUUCCAUUACAGUUUAGGAACUGGGGUAGUUACCAUAGUAACGCAGUGUAGGUGGGGCGAUCAGCUUUUUGGCGGGCGGGGCUAUGCUGCAUACAACUGCCGUGAUGUCAUCUUCAAUGCGACAAAACACACAACAACAAUGGAGGAUGUGGAAGCCAUCGUGUCCUUGCUUCUUGGUAUGUGGUUUUUUAUCACAGCAAGAAGGAAAACUUUGUUUCGGAAAAGGCUGCUUAUAGCAAGACGUAAUACAGAAGAAGCUGAGGGGAGACUUAUGGCAAUCGUACAACGCGGCAGAGACUACUCCAGGACGACUCAACGACAACGCUACUCGAAGUUAGGUUGCCACCGCAGACCAUGUGUUUGGAUGCUUGACCGAGCAACCGAGUGGUGGGGUGUGAUUGUUCCAUCUUUCACACACACUCAGGAUGUCUGAGGAAACCUACGUAUACCUGUGCAACAAACUGCGGCCAGCGAUGGAGAGACAGGACACAACAUUCCGCGAGUGUAUACCUCUAAAGAAGAGGGUGGCCAUCGCACUGUGGAAGCUUGCGACCGGCUCAGAGUUUGAUGCGCUACCUGAAUAGCUACAUAUUCAUUGUAUACAGGAAACUUGAAUGUUUUGGUUCAUAACAUCAUGGUUCAGUAAGUUGAUAUACAUUUCUUGUGUUUGUCAUUUUAAACACGACAUUGAAAGAUUGUGGGCCAUUAAGGCUAGUGAUAUUUUGUUUUGACUACAUUGUAUUGAACAUAAAUACAUCUAUUUUUCUCUUUCA